rnacentral:rRNA from 1 species
UACAGGGGGUGCAAACGUUGCUCGGAAUUAUUGGGCGUAAAGCGCGCGUAGGCGGCCAACUAAGUCAGACGUGAAAUCCCUCGGCUUAACCGGGGAACUGCGUCUGAUACUGGAUGGCUAGAGAUUGGGAGAGGGAUGCGGAAUUCCAGGUGUAGCGGUGAAAUGCGUAGAUAUCUGGAGGAGCACCGGUGGCGAAGGCGGCAUCCUGGACCAACACUGACGCUGAGGAGCGAAAGCCAGGGGAGCAAACGGG